AUUAGAGGGCGAAAUAAGCGACUGAAGUGGAAAUUUUCUGGACUCAAGGGAAACACGCGUGUUCACGCGUGUAUUGUGGUGUGACCGGUGUGAUGUGGUGUUAGGUCCCAGUGUCCAACUCAAUCAAUCAGCACAUCCUGAAGUAGCUCAGCCUUUGGGCAAGGGAAAAUGCCACCUGAUUCGAAAGAUCUGCCCUCUUCAAAGGACAAGUCUCCUUCGGUUCAUAGAUUACAUGCUACAGAUCUAGACAGAAUGAAGGGGAUUUAUCUUGGAGAAGAAGAGCUUAGGGGCUUUGACAAAUAUAAGUACAAAUCAGAAGAUACUUCACCUCUUUCAAACUACAUAACUCAUCCAUUUUGGAAUUUCGUCGUUGAGUUUUUUCCCAGAUGGCUUGCACCCAAUGUGCUCACCUUCAGCGGCUGGUUGUCCCUGUUCAUGAUCUAUGCUGUUACAUGUUAUUACGACCCCCACUUUACAGCAGCAGGUGAAAAGGACAAGAGCAAACAAAUUCCAUCAAUAUGGUGGCUUGUCUUUGCUGUGUUGCACUUUGCAGCACACACCCUUGAUGGUUGUGAUGGCAAACAGGCUCGAAGAACAAGCAGCAGCUCUCCACUGGGUGAAUUGUUUGACCACGGUCUGGACAGUUCAGCAGCAUUUCUUAUUCCUAUAAGUUUGUUUUCACUCUUUGGUCAUGGCCCUCACAGUGUUACAUUGUGGGAACUUUAUCAACUGAUGUUGGCCUGUUUGCUGGGAUUUUACCUGGCUCAUUGGGAAAAAUACAACACCGGGACAUUGUUCUUGCCAUGGACUUAUGAUGCCAGUCAAAUAGCAAUUUCAUUUGUGUACCUCCUAACAUUUUAUUUUGGAGUAGACAUGUGGAAAUUUCAAAUAAUAGAAGGUUUUCCUCUAUGCUUCGUAUUCCGUUUCACAGUUUAUGGAUCAUCAAUUGUACUCACUCUGGCAAUGACAUUGUACAAUAUGUACCAGGCUCGUGUUUCUAAGACAGACCGAGGUUUUUCAUUAUUUGAAGGACUUCUCCCUCUGUUGUCAUUCUUUCUGAUGAUUUUCCUCUUCUACACAUGGGCCAUUCUUUCUCCUGCCAACAUCCUUGAAAUCCAACCACGUCUAUUUUUUACAGCUACUGGAAUUGUGUUCUCUAAUGUGACGUGCCGACUGAUUGUGAGUACAAUGACCAGCCAGAGAUGCCAAGCUAUCAAUGCCAUGUUACUUCCUCUGUUUGCCUUGACAUUCAUUGUACCUUUUACCAAAUCAGUUGACAUGGAGGUGGGAAUUCUCAGUCUCUACACUGGGGUUGUAGCUAUUUGUCACCUGCAUUAUGGAAUUGUUUUGGUUCGUGAACUGUGUAAUCACCUCAACAUCAGCUGUUUCUCUCUCACAAAAUAGAUGAGAUAAAUUGGAAUUACGAACCUUACAAAUACAACCUUAUAAGAUUUCCUGCAUCUUCCCUGAGACAUCCUUGUGGAUUUCUAUUCUCAGCUCAAUUAGAGCUGAAUACUGCUUUGUUGUACUGUAGAAAUAAUCUUUUGACAAUGUGCAGGUGAGGCUAAAUGCAGAUCAAGGAGCCACUAGAAGCAGCAGAGUAGAUCAACAUACUGUUCUGUUGAAUUUUUUUCAAGAAGCAAAGUCUUGUUUCAUAUUUCUUGCACUUUUUCUUAUUGCUUUCUUGUAAACCUUCUUAGGAAACUUCCUUUAAAUCCUCAUACAGCUAUGUGUUACCUAAGGGAAUUGUGACAUCUCAAAGGCAGAAAAAAGCUUAAAAUUAUUGAAUCAUUUAUUUGUUUGCAAGAUACAUGAACAGUAAAGAACAGGGUGCUAAACAUUGCACUAUUUCCAGCAGGAUAUAAUUCAGUUAUUUUAUUGAAAAUUCUUCCCAAAGCAUGGGGAAAGGUGAAAAUCUUCAGUUCUAAAGAGAUACAGGUUAUCUUUAUAGCUAUCCAUUUACUAAAGGGAAAAUUAUUUCUUUUUAAAUUUUUCCUUGAUACCAAAUCAUUCAUUUAUUUAACAUAUAUCUGUACAAAAUUCUGUAAAAAAUAUGUAUCUGGUAGACAUAAUUCUCGACUUAUGAAAUAGAACUGGGUGUAAGUAGCUUUUUGGGUAAAUAUAAGUUAUCUUCAUUCAACCCUUUAAAUCCCAAGAUCUGAUAAUUGAUUCUCCCCUCUUGCUACUACACAAUUUCACGGUAAUAAGUUAUGAGAGUUUGGUGUUAAAUCAGCUUCAACCUGAUAAGUUUGAGUAUUCUCAUUACCUAUUUACUGCAUAUUGUAUGGAUAUCACAGGGAGAGGUUACAUGUUAAUCAUUUCUGGGAUUUAAGGGUUAAAAAGUAGAAAAGAAUGUGAAACAGAUGUGCUAUUACACAAGGCAAUAUAAAGAAAAGCAAUUUUGUCUUUUUUCUGAAGUUAGCUUGCCUAGUUCUUUUUGGAUUUAUUGCAUUAUUCUCAAGCUGUUCUCCAUUUAGUUGACUGUUCACUUUAUAGAUGGAGUGGAUCUGUUCUGAGAACUGGCUUAACUGGUUCUGAACAUGACCCUGUCCUGUGAGUCUUCUGCAUAGACUACUUGUCAAAUUCAUGGUAGUUUCUAGUGUUGAAUUUUGCUAAUAGUAGUGCACAUUUAUCUCAAAGUUAUUUCUAGCACAAAACAGCUUAGCUAAUAAUUAAAAGGAUUAGAAUUUUGUUUUCUGUUUUCUAGACACUAGCAAAAACCACAUCUUUCAGUGUGGUUAGACCUGAUAAAUGGAGAGCAACCUUAAAUUUCACUUUCAUGGUCCCGUAAAGACCUCGCAAUUAAACUGAUCAUCUGAAAUGGAUUUUCUUUGCAUGAACUAGUUUAAUUUGCUGCGAGUCAAAUAAAUGAGAGUUUUAAUAUAUUAAAUACUCUUGGUGCUAGUGGCAAUUGUUACAUCCUAACUCUUUAAUAGAGUUCUGCCUAUGAUCAGGAUCUUUUCAUUUGAAAAAGUUACAGGAUAUUGUAAGAUGUACAAUUUGGUAUUUCAUUGAUUCAAGGCAAAUUUUGCAGUUAAAAUUGUCAGUGGUAAUAAAAGUUCUUGAUCAAGGAUUAACUUCAGUGUGUUUACUUUACUUUUCUCAUACACACCCACAAAAAUAUCUCCAGCUGCAUGAGUUAACCCUUCUGUUCAAGAGUGGCAUAACAUCAAUUCUAAGUAGACUGUCCUUACAACAGUUCAGUUCUAUAAUGUUUCAGUUAAUUUGCAAUGUUUGUCUUAAGCACAUCUUCAGUAUUCAAGAGUUUUUAGCUUGAACCAAGGUAAUAAAAGUUGUGUCAAAUUAAAAUGACAAAACUGACCAAUCUUUUACAACA